rnacentral:rRNA from 1 species
AGCUCCUACGGGAGGCAGCAGUGGGGAAUAUUGGGCAAUGGGCGCAAGCCUGACCCAGCAACGCCGCGUGAAGGAAGAAGGCUUUCGGGUUGUAAACUUCUUUUGUCAUGGACGAAGCAAGUGACGGUACCUGACGAAUAAGCCACGGCUAACUACGUGCCAGCAGCCGCGGUAAUACGUAGGUGGCAAGCGUUAUCCGGAUUUAUUGGGUGUAAAGGGCGUGUAGGCGGGAGCGCAAGUCAGAUGUGAAAACUCAGGGCUCAACCCUGAGCCUGCAUUUGAAACUGGGUUUCUUGAGUGCUGGG